AGAGUUUGAUCCUGGCUCAGGAUGAACGCUGACAGAAUGCUUAACACAUGCAAGUCUUUGGCGAAGUUGUGCUUGCACAGCCUAGCCAAGGCGGACGGGUGAGUAACGCGUAAGGAACUUGCCCUGCAGUCAGGGAUAACAGACGGAAACGACUGAUAAGACCUGGUAAAGUCAGGCGGACUCAUGUCCAGCCUGAUGAAAAGAGAUGCUGCAGGAGAGCCUUGCGUCCUAUUAGCUUGUUGGUGGGGUAACGGCCCACCAAGGCGAUGAUAGGUAGCCGGCCUGAGAGGGUGGACGGCCACAAGGGGACUGAGAUACGGCCCUUACUCCUACGGGAGGCAGCAGUGGGGAAUAUUGGACAAUGGGGGCAACCCUGAUCCAGCAAUUCUGUGUGCACGAUGAAGGUUUUCGGAUUGUAAAGUGCUUUCAGCAGGGAAGAAAAAAAUGACGGUACCUGCAGAAGAAGCGACGGCUAAAUACGUGCCAGCAGCCGCGGUAAUACGUAUGUCGCAAGCGUUAUCCGGAAUUAUUGGGCAUAAAGGGCAUCUAGGCGGCCAGAUAAGUCUGGGGUGAAAACUUGCGGCUCAACCGCAAGCCUGCCCUGGAAACUAUGUGGCUAGAGUACUGGAGAGGUGGACGGAACUGCACGAGUAGAGGUGAAAUUCGUAGAUAUGUGCAGGAAUGCCGAUGAUGAAGAUAGUUCACUGGACGGUAACUGACGCUGAAGUGCGAAAGCUAGGGGAGCAAACAGGAUUAGAUACCCUGGUAGUCCUAGCUGUAAACGAUGAUUACUGGGUGUGGGCAUGAAGAGUGUCCGUGCCGAAGCUAAUGCGAUAAGUAAUCCGCCUGGGGAGUACGGCCGCAAGGCUGAAACUCAAAGGAAUUGACGGGGACCCGCACAAGCGGUGGAGCAUGUGGUUUAAUUCGACGCAACGCGAGGAACCUUACCAGAUCUUGACAU
rnacentral:rRNA from 1 species